UGGGGAAUCUUGCACAAUGGGGGAAACCCUGAUGCAGCGACGCCGCGUGAGCGAUGAAGGUUUUCGAAUCGUAAAGCUCUGUCCUAUGGGAAGAUAAUGACGGUACCAUGGGAGGAAGCCCCGGCUAACUACGUGCCAGCAGCCGCGGUAAUACGUAGGGGGCUAGCGUUGUCCGGAAUCACUGGGCGUAAAGGGUUCGCAGGCGGAAAUGCAAGUCAGAUGUAAAAGGCAGUAGCUUAACUACUGUAAGCAUUUGAAACUGCAUAUCUUGAGAAGAGUAGAGGUAAGUGGAAUUUUUAGUGUAGCGGUGAAAUGCGUAGAUAUUAAAAAGAAUACCGGUGGCGAAGGCGACUUACUGGGCUCAUUCUGACGCUGAGGAACGAAAGCGUGGGUAGCAAACAGG
rnacentral:rRNA from 1 species